AGCGGCGGACGGGUGAGUAACGCGUGGGUAACCUGCCUCAUACAGGGGGAUAACAGUUAGAAAUGACUGCUAAUACCGCAUAAGACCACGGUACCGCAUGGUACAGUGGUAAAAACUCCGAUGGUAUGAGAUGGACCCGCGUCUGAUUAGGUAGUUGGUGGGGUAACGGCCUACCAAGCCGACGAUCAGUAGCCGACCUGAGAGGGUGACCGGCCACAUUGGGACUGAGACACGGCCCAG
rnacentral:rRNA from 1 species